rnacentral:rRNA from 1 species
UACGGAGGGUGCAAGCGUUGUCCGGAUUUAUUGGGUUUAAAGGGUGCGUAGGCGGCCCUCUAAGUCAGUGGUGAAAUACUGCAGCUUAACUGUAGCAUUGCCAUUGAUACUGGAGGGCUUGAGUACAGAUGAGGUAGGCGGAAUUUAUGGUGUAGCGGUGAAAUGCAUAGAUACCAUAAAGAACACCUAUUGCGAAGGCAGCUUACUAGCUGUAACUGACGCUGAGGCACGAAAGCGUGGGGAGCGAACAGG